UACGUAUGUCGCAAGCGUUAUCCGGAUUUAGUGGGCGUAAAGCGCGUCUAGGCGGUUUUGCAAGUCUGAUGUGAAAAUGCGGAGCUCAACCACGUAUUACGUUGGAAACUGCUAAUCUAGAGUACUGGAGAGGUAGGCGGAACUUCAAGUGUAGAGGUGAAAUUCGUAGAUAUUUGUAGGAAUGCCGAUGGGGAAGGCAGCCUACUGGACAGAUACUGACGCUAAAGUGCGAAAGCGUGGGUAGCAAACAGG
rnacentral:rRNA from 1 species